rnacentral:rRNA from 1 species
AGGCAGGGCGGCGUGCUAAUACAUGCAAGUCGAGCGGACCGACGGGAGCUUGCUCCCUUAGGUCAGCGGCGGACGGGUGAGUAACACGUGGGUAACCUGCCUGUAAGACUGGGAUAACUCCGGGAAACCGGGGCUAAUACCGGAUGCUUGAUUGAACCGCAUGGUUCAAUCAUAAAAGGUGGCUUUCAGCUACCACUUGCAGAUGGACCCGCGGCGCAUUAGCUAGUUGGUGAGGUAACGGCUCACCAAGGCGACGAUGCGUAGCCGACCUGAGAGGGUGAUCGGCCACACUGGGACUGAGACACGGCCCAGACUCCUACGGGAGGCAGCAGUAGGGAAUCUUCCGCAAUGGACGAAAGUCUGACGGAGCAACGCCGCGUGAGUGAUGAAGGUUUUCGGAUCGUAAAACUCUGUUGUUAGGGAAGAACAAGUACCGUUCGAAUAGGGCGGUACCUUGACGGUACCUAACCAGAAAGCCACGGCUAACUACGUGCCAGCAGCCGCGGUAAUACGUAGGUGGCAAGCGUUGUCCGGAAUUAUUGGGCGUAAAGCGCGCGCAGGCGGUUUCUUAAGUCUGAUGUGAAAGCCCCCGGCUCAACCGGGGAGGGUCAUUGGAAACUGGGGAACUUGAGUGCAGAAGAGGAGAGUGGAAUUCCACGUGUAGCGGUGAAAUGCGUAGAGAUGUGGAGGAACACCAGUGGCGAAGGCGACUCUCUGGUCUGUAACUGACGCUGAGGCGCGAAAGCGUGGGGAGCGAACAGGAUUAGAUACCCUGGUAGUCCACGCCGUAAACGAUGAGUGCUAAGUGUUAGAGGGUUUCCGCCCUUUAGUGCUGCAGCAAACGCAUUAAGCACUCCGCCUGGGGAGUACGGUCGCAAGACUGAAACUCAAAGGAAUUGACGGAGGCCCGCACAAGCGGUGGAGCAUGUGGUUUAAUUCAAAGCAACGCGAAGAACCUUACCAGGUCUUGACGUCGUCUGACAACCCUACAGAUAGGGCUUCCCCUUCCCCGGCAGAGUAACAG